ACUCUCUUAUUAGUUGCCAUUAGA
rnacentral:siRNA from 1 species